CAGCCGCCACGGUAAAACGUAGGUGGCAAGCGUUGUCCGGAAUUACUGGGCGUAAAGGGCUCGCAGGCGGUUUCUUAAGUCUGAUGUGAAAGCCCCCGGCUCAACCGGGGAUGGUCAUUGGAAACUGGGAAACUUGAGUGCAGAAGAGGAGAGUGGAAUUCCACGUGUAGCGGUGAAAUGCGUAGAGAUGUGGAGGAACACCAGUGGCGAAGGCGACUCUCUGGUCUGUAACUGACGCUGAGGAGCGAAAGCGUGGGGAGCGAACAGGAUUAGAUACCCCGGUAGUCCCUGUCUCUUAUAC
rnacentral:rRNA from 1 species